UAUUCAUUUUCUAUAAAUGGAAUAUGAAUUCGUUGUAAUGAUAUCUUAGUCUGUGGCUAAUGUAAUAAACUGCGUCAAAAUUGUGAAUCAUACUCUAUUUUUAAUAUUUUAAAACUUUUAUAUUGGAAAUCAUACCGCGUGCUUGUUAAAGGUUGCAAAGCAUUUGUCCAAACAGGAACAUAUAUAUUGAUAUAUAGAUAUACUGUUCCCAGGUCCAAACAGGAACAUAUAUAUUGAUAUAUAGAUAUACUGUUCCCAGGUCCAAACAGGAACAUAUAUAUUGAUAUAUAGAUAUACUGUUCCCAGGUCCAAACAGGAACAUAUAUAUUGAUAUAUAGAUAUACUGUUCCCAGGUCCAAACAGGAACAUAUAUAUUGAUAUAUAGAUAUACUGUUCCCAGGUCCAAACAGGAACAUAUAUAUUGAUAUAUAGAUAUACUGUUCCCAGGUCCAAAUAAAAAAAGGUGGAAGAUACCAAGGGGACAAUCAAAUCUCACAAGUCAAAGAGAAAGUGACAAUUCCAUGGCAAAACAAAUAAGAAAAACAGAUCCUGCUCCCCAAGUGGCUACCGUCAUGUUGUCAAUGGUAAGUAAAAAUUCGGUUUAGGAAAUGAGUAUGGGAUUAUGGUAACCACAAUUGAAAUAUAUCCUUGAUCAGAUGGCUUCCGUUAAACGGAAAUACAUUACACAUUC